CAGAGUCCCGUAAGGAUGAUUUGUCCUCAAACAGAAACAAUAAUGAAGAUUCUGGCCAAAACCAGGAUGAGUCCUCAAACACAAACAGUAAUGGAGAUUCUGGCCAAAACCAGGAUGAGUCCUCAAACACAAACAGUAAUGGAGAUUCUGGCCAAAACCAGGAUGAGAAUCACUUGUCCUCAAACACAAACAAUAAUGGAGAUUCUGGCCAAAACCAGGAUGAGAAUCGCUUGUCCUCAAACACAAACAAUAAUGGAGAUUCUAGGCAAAAGCAGGAUGAGAAUUCUGUUCACAACAACACGAAUGACA
rnacentral:lncRNA from 1 species